rnacentral:rRNA from 1 species
UUCGUAUUUAACUGUCAGAGGUGAAAUUCUUAGAUUUGUUAAAGACGAACUUCUGCGAAAGCAUUUGCCAAGGAUGUUUUCAUUAAUCAAGAACGACAGUAGGGGGUUUGAAGACGAUUAGAUACCGUCGUAAUCUCUACCAUAAACUAUGCCGACUAGAGAUAGGGAAAACGCCUACCUUGCUUCUCCUGCACCUCAUGAGAAAUCAAAGUCUCUGGGUUCNGGGGGGAGUA